CUUGUGAAACAAUCCGUCUGUGCAGUUUAGAUAAAAUGAAAGGUCUCUUUGCUCCCCUCUUCAUCAUCUUUCUCACAGGCCUAUUUGUCCCUGUAUCGGGACUGUCUGUUCGGCAAACACCUGAGAAAAUAGAUACCACUGAAGGAGAAAAUGUGAGCAUUAAGUGUUACAUUGAAACAGAUUCAACAUCGGAGCGAAUUUUAGUACUAUGGUUAAAAAAUAAUCUCACUGUUGACGGUAAAAAUUAUACUGAUUUUACGCAUCGAUUAAAUAGUGGAAAUGUUAGCAUCAACGCGACCCUUCACUUGCCUUCAAUACGUCCAAAUCACUCUGGCAUUUACUACUGCAAAGUAUCGAUGGAUAUGCCCAGACUUGAAACGGUGUACGGAAAGGGAACACAUAUAUAUAUUGUGAAUAGUUCAACAAUUGUUACAACACCAAGUCGACAUUUUAACUUUUCAAGUCCAAUGAAUCCCUCUAAGGACACAGUGUUGAAAUGGUCACUUUCAGGAUUGGGAAUUAUCUUGCUGAUGGUCUGC